rnacentral:rRNA from 1 species
UACGUAGGGUGCGAGCGUUGUUCGGAAUUACUGGGCGUAAAGGGCGCGUAGGCGGCAAAGCAAGUCGAGUGUGAAAGCCCCGGGCUUAACUUGGGAAUUGCGCUCGAAACUACUUUGCUGGAGUCUGGCAGAGGAAGGUGGAAUUCCAGGUGUAGCGGUGAAAUGCGUAGAGAUCUGGAGGAACACCAAUGGCGAAGGCAGCAUUCUGGGCCGGCACUGACGCUGAUGCACGAAAGCGUGGGGAGCAAACAGG